rnacentral:rRNA from 1 species
ACGGCUCAGUAACACGUGGACAACCUACCCUACAGAAGGGGAUAACCCCGGGAAACUGGGGGUAAUACCCUAUAGACUAUGGAUGCUGGAAUGCUCUGUAGCCGAAAGGUCCGCCGCUGUAGGAUGGGUCUGCGGCCGAUUAGGUUGUUGUUGGGGUAACGGCCCAACAAGCCUGUAAUCGGUACGGGUUGUGGGAGCAAGGGCCCGGAGAUGGAUUCUGAGACACGAAUCCAGGCCCUACGGGGCGCAGCAGGCGCGAAAACUUUGCAAUGCGGGAAACCGUGACAAGGGAACUCUGAGUGCCCGUAAAAUCGGGCUGUCCAUCGGUUUAAAAAACCGGUGAAGAAAGGGCCGGGCAAGACCGGUGCCAGCCGCCGCGGUAAUACCGGCGGCUCGAGUGGUGGCCACUAUUACUGGGCUUAAAGCGUUCGUAGCUGGUUUGUUAAGUCUCUGGGGAAAUCUUCCGGCUUAACCGGAAGGCGUCUCAGGGAUACUGGCAGACUAGGGACCGGGAGAGGUGAGAGGUACUCCAGGGGUAGGAGUGAAAUCCUGUAAUCCUUGGGGGACCACCUGUGGCGAAGGCGUCUCACCAGAACGGCUCCGACAGUGAGGGACGAAAGCUGGGGGAGCAAACCGGAUUAGAUACCCGGGUAGUCCCAGCUGUAAACGAUGCGCGUUAGGUGUAUCAGUGACCACGAGUCACUGAGGUGCCGAAGAGAAAUCGUGAAACGUGCCGCCUGGGAAGUACGGUCGCAAGGCUGAAACUUAAAGGAAUUGGCGGGGGAG